rnacentral:rRNA from 1 species
UACGUAGGGGGCAAGCGUUGUCCGGAUUUACUGGGCGUAAAGAGCGCGUAGGCGGAAGCUUAAGCGGUGCCUGAAAGCCCCCGGCUCAACCGGGGAGGGUGGUGCCGAACUGGGCUUCUUGAGGGCGAUAGAGGAGAGUGGAAUUCCGGGUGUAGCGGUGAAAUGCGUAGAGAUCCGGAGGAACACCAGUGGCGCAGGCGGCUCUCUGGGUCGGCCCUGACGCUGAGGUGCGAAAGCUAGGGGAGCAAACAGG